ACUUCGGUCCUGAGUAAAGUGGCGCACGGGUGAGUAACACGUGAGUAACGUACCUUCGGGUGGGGGAUAACGGGCCGAAAGGCUCGCUAAUACCGCAUGAGACCACGCUGCCUGCGGGCGGCGGGCCAAAGGGGCAUGUUUUCGGACCUGUCUCGCCUGAAGAGCGGCUCGCGGACCAUUAGCUUGUUGGUGGGGUAACGGCCUACCAAGGCAUCGAUGGUUAGCUGGUCUGAGAGGAUGAUCAGCCACACUGGGACUGGAACACGGCCCAGACUCC
rnacentral:rRNA from 1 species